GGUGAACGCUGGCGGCGUGCUUAACACAUGCAAGUCGAACGAAGCACUUUAUUUGAUUUCCUUCGGGACUGAUUAUUUUGUGACUGAGUGGCGGACGGGUGAGUAACGCGUGGGUAACCUGCCUUGUACAGGGGGAUAACAGUUGGAAACGGCUGCUAAUACCGCAUAAGCGCACAGCAUCGCAUGAUGCAGUGUGAAAACCUCCGGUGGUAUAAGAUGGACCCGCGUUGGAUUAGCUAGUUGGUGAGGUAACGGCCCACCAAGGCGACGAUCCAUAGCCGACCUGAGGGGGUGACCGGCCACAUUGGGACUGCGACACGGCCCAAACUCCUGCGGGAGGCAGCAGUGGGGAAUAUUGCACAAUGGGCGAAAGCCUGAUGCAGCGACGCCGCGUGAGCGAAGAAGUAUUUCGGUAUGUAAAGCUCUAUCAGCAGGGAAGAUAAUGACGGUACCUGACUAAGAAGCACCGGCUAAAUACGU
rnacentral:rRNA from 1 species